UCUUCAUUUCGCGUGCUCUCUCGCCUCUCUAACCGGUGAGAGAACACGUGAAAUGAAGAGA
rnacentral:pre_miRNA from 1 species